rnacentral:siRNA from 1 species
CUUAUUUACAAUGGUUACCACUGA